rnacentral:rRNA from 1 species
CCUACGGGUAGCAGCAGUGAGGAAUAUUGGUCAAUGGGCGCGAGCCUGAACCAGCCAAGUCGCGUGAGGGAAGACGGUCCUAUGGAUUGUAAACCUCUUUUGUCGGGGAGCAAAAGACGCCACGCGUGGCGUUCCGAGAGUACCCGAAGAAAAAGCAUCGGCUAACUCCGUGCCAGCAGCCGCGGUAAUACGGAGGAUGCGAGCGUUAUCCGGAUUUAUUGGGUUUAAAGGGUGCGCUGGCGGAAGAUCAAGUCAGCGGUAAAAUUGAGAGGCUCAACCUCUUCGAGCCGUUGAAACUGGUUUUCUUGAGUGAGCGAGAAGUAUGCGGAAUGCGUGGUGUAGCGGUGAAAUGCAUAGAUAUCACGCAGAACUCCGAUUGUGAAGGCAGCAUGCCGGCGCUCAACUGACGCUCAUGCACGAAAGUGUGGGUAUCGAACAGGAUUAGAUACCCGUGUAGUC